GUAGCUGGACUGAGAGGUUGGACAGCCACACUGGGACUGAGACACGGCCCAGACUCCUACGGGAGGCAGCAGUGGGGAAUAUUGGACAAUGGGGGCAACCCUGAUCCAGCGAUGCCGCGUGUGUGAAGAAGGCCUGAGGGUUGUAAAGCACUUUCAGUGGGGAGGAGAGGUUGCAGGUUAAGAGCCAGUGAUUGAGACGUUACCCACAGAAGAAGCACCGGCUAACUCCGUGCCAGCAGCCGCGGUAAUACGGAGGGUGCGAGCGUUAAUCGGAAUUAUUGGGCGUAAAGGGUGCGUAGGUGGUUGAAUAAGUUAUCUGUGAAAACCCUGAGCUUAACUUGGGGGAGAGAGAUAAAACUGUCUGACUAGAGUAUGG
rnacentral:rRNA from 1 species